rnacentral:rRNA from 1 species
AAGGCCCUUUCGGCGGUACUCGAGCGGCGAACGGGUGAGUAACACGUGAGUAAUCUGCCCUGUGCUCUGGGAUAGCCACCGGAAACGGUGAUUAAUACCGGAUACGACCACUGUCCGCAUGGGUUGGUGGUGGAAAGUUUUUUCGGCACAGGAUGUGCUCGCGGCCUAUCAGCUUGUUGGUGAGGUAAUGGCUCACCAAGGCUUUGACGGGUAGCCGGCCUGAGAGGGUGACCGGUCACACUGGGACUGAGACACGGCCCAGACUCCUACGGGAGGCAGCAGUGGGGAAUAUUGGACAAUGGGCGGAAGCCUGAUCCAGCAACGCCGCGUGAGGGAUGACGGCCUUCGGGUUGUAAACCUCUUUCAGUACCGACGAAGCGCAAGUGACGGUAGGUACAGAAGAAGGACCGGCCAACUACGUGCCAGCAGCCGCGGUAAUACGUAGGGUCC